UUCCGGUUGAUCCUGCCGGACCUGACUGCUAUCGGAUUGAUACUAAGCCAUGCGAGUCAUUGUAGCAAUACAAGGCAUACGGCUCAGUAACGCGUAGUCAACCUAACCUAUGGACGGGAAUAACCUCGGGAAACUGAGAAUAAUGCCCGAUAGAACAUUAUACCUGGAAUGGUUUAUGUUCCAAAUGAUUUAUCGCCAUAGGAUGGGACUGCGGCCUAUCAGUUUGUUGGUGAGGUAAUGGCCCACCAAGACUAUUACAGGUACGGGCUCUGAGAGGAGUAGCCCGGAGAUGGGUACUGAGACACGGACCCAGGCCCUAUGGGGCGCAGCAGGCGAGAAAACUUUGCAAUGUGCGAAAGCACGACAAGGUUAAUCCGAGUGAUUUCUGCUAAAGAGAUCUUUUGUUAGUCCUAGAAACACUAACGAAUAAGGGGUGGGCAAGUUCUGGUGUCAGCCGCCGCGGUAAAACCAGCACCUCAAGUGGUCAGGAUGAUUAUUGGGCCUAAAGCAUCCGUAGCCGGCUCUGUAAGUUUUCGGUUAAAUCUGUACGCUCAACGUACAGGCUGCCGGGAAUACUGCAGAACUAGGGAGUGGGAGAGGUAGACGGUACUCGGUAGGAAGUGGUAAAAUGCUUUGAUCUAUCGAUGACCACCUGUGGCGAAGGCGGUCUACCAGAACACGUCCGACGGUGAGGGAUGAAAGCUGGGGGAGCAAACCGGAUUAGAUACCCGGGUAGUCCCAGCUGUAAACUAUGCAAACUCAGUGAUGCAUUGGCUUGUGGCCAAUGCAGUGCUGCAGGGAAGCCGUUAAGUUUGCCGCCUGGGAAGUACGUACGCAAGUAUGAAACUUAAAGGAAUUGGCGGGGGAGCACCACAAGGGGUGAAGCCUGCGGUUCAAUUGGAUUCAACGCCGGG
rnacentral:rRNA from 1 species